rnacentral:lncRNA from 1 species
AAUUGACUUAUUAAAUCUCAAUCAAUCAUUCUAAUAAAGGAAUAAAUCUUUUAAUUCGUUGAAUUGACAUUUUAGAUCUUAAUUACAAUAAUUGAUUUGCCGUAAAAUUAGUAAUCAAUUAUUCUAAUAAGGCAAUAAAUCAAUUCUAACAUAUAAUUCAUUAAAUUGACAUUUUAAAUUUUAAUUAAAAUAAUUGAUUUGUUACUACUAAAUUAGUAAUCAAUUAUUGCUAAUUCGGAAAAUUCAAACGAAAAAUUUUGAAAUUAGUUAAUCCACAAUAUCUAAUUUAAGUUUGCAUUUAGAUUAUUCUAAAAAUUGAAUUUGUGUGAUUUCUAGUGACUAUAUCCACUAACUAAUAGUGUCUAAGAAAAGCUUGUCAAAAAGGCAUACGUGCCUAAGAAAGGCUGGUACUUAAGUGAGCCUAGUGCUCCACCACCGAUCUGGAGCUGAUCUGGCUAUUAGUUUUUUGGAUAUAUCAAUUAGACAUCUAAAGUUCAAUAUAAAUAUUAGUGCAAUUUUUUGACAUAGAUUUUUUGCCUUCAAUCAGGUUUCUGUCUCUAUUCUGUAACCCUGAUCCUAUGGCCUCAAACACUAGUGACCAUCUUAGUGC